rnacentral:piRNA from 1 species
AUGUGUCUUAGUUAGGGUUUCUGUUG